AGCUUCAAACGUGAGAACACAUUCCAGUUGCAGGAUCAGAGGACUUUUCCUACAGCACCAGUUAGACACAUAACUGUGACUGUCCUGCUGGAGAGGGAGGCCACAAGCAGGGGCCCUGGAGGAUGAGGAGCCACAUGGAGAGUGAGGCCUCAGAGAGGAGUGCAGAGGUUCUGGACAUGUGAGUGAAGGUACCACCUUGGACAUUCCAGCCCCGUCAAGGCUCCAAGGACACCAGACCCAUCCAUCGUGUGAUAACAGCCAACAAGAGCCCCCGGGUGAGUGCAGCAGGACUGCCCUGCCAAGCCCCUCAGCCCACAGAAUUGUGAGAACGAUUAAACUGUUGUACUCCACUAAGGUUUAGGUUAUGAUGGAUAACUGAGAUGCUGCUCCCAGCAACCACUUCUAGGAUUCCCUUCUGGAAUGACUAUGCUUUGAUUCUCAGUCUGAUGGACAAGGUUGUAUGUGCCUUACACUUAUGAAAUCAGCACUAUUCUGUAAUGACAGGCACACAAUGCUCACUUGAGAAAGGAAGGCUUUGUUGCAUUUGAGAGGGGUGGAAAUGCUACUCUGCUGAAGUGAGCACCUGGACAACAAAAUGAAGGAUUUUAGGAAGUUUCUCUUGACCCAAAAGGAAGAUUGCAGCCCAGCUAUAAAGGAACCCAUGUCUGCUAAGUUCCCUAUUAUAUUUUCCUCAUGUUUCUCACCUUGAUGUUUUUGUUCCACUCAGGUCUUUGUUCAGACUUCACCUCCUCACAGGGAACUCCCCUGGGCCCCUCUCUAGAUUGGCCCCUCUGCCACCCCAGGUUCCUUCCUGUGCUUUAUCCUGCUCUCCACCUGACGUCAUAUAACUCUUUUUUUUCUUUUCUUUUCUUUUUUUUUUUUGAGAUGGAGUCUCCCUCUGCCACCAGGCUGGAGUGCAAUGGUGCGAUCUCGGUUCACUUCUACCUUCGCCUCCCAGGUUCAAGUGAUUCUCCUGCCUCAGCCUCCCGAGUAGCUGGGACUACAGGACCUCUGAUCCCUGAAGGGAGGACCCAGAGUCACCAGCCUGCCAAGAAGCACCGAGCAUCUGCUCUGGAGAAGGGAGUUAGGAAGGAAACGUGUGAACCACGCAGCCAGACCGGUCUCCAGAUGGCGAGACCUCUGAGGAAUUCAUCUGUGGUCAAUGUGAGCACAUCCUCCAAUAAUUGGUUUCAAGAGAUGGAACUCCCACUUGCUGUCUGGUGGCAGACACUGUCUCAGGAGGAAUGGUUUGGGGCACAGGGUAGCAAAUGGUGCAGUGUCUUUUUUUGCAUCUUAACAUGGGCUCUUGUCUUGGACACCCUAGUGGUGACUGCAAAACAGCAGGAUGGUCGCACCAUGGCGUUUGGAGUCAUACCAACUUGGGUUAGAAAUUCUGUUCGUCUUUUGAUUGCAGUUGAUAAUACCUGCUUCAGAGAGUUGUUGGGAUGA
ensembl:lncRNA